AUUGAACGCUGGCGGCAUGCUUUACACAUGCAAGUCGAACGGUAACAGGCCGCAAGGUGCUGACGAGUGGCGAACGGAUGAGUAAUGCAUCGGAACGUGCCCAGUCGUGGGGGAUAACGCAGAGAAUGCUGUGCUAAUACCGCAUACUAUCUAUGGAUGAAAACGGGGGACCGUAAGGCCCCGCGCGAUUGUAACGGACAAUGUCAGAUUAGGGAGUUGGUGGGGUAACGGCUCACCAAGCCAACGAUCUGUAGCUGGUCUGAGAGGACAACCAGCCAAACUGGGACUGAGACACGGCCCAGACUCCUACGGGAGGCAGCAGUGGGGAAUUUUGGACAAUGGGCGCAAGCCUGAUCCAGCAAUGCCGCGUGCAGGAAGAAGGCCUUCGGGUUGUAAACUGCUUUUGUACGGAACGAAGAGGUUUGGGUUAAUACCCUGGGCCGAUGACGGUACCGUAAGAAUAAGCACCGGCUAACUACGUGCCAGCAGCCGCCGUAA
rnacentral:rRNA from 1 species